UUCUAUUUAUUGCCUCCUCCUUCAGGGCUGCUUUGAUAUUUAGCGUGUGCCAAAGUGUUCUGUUGCCUUCGAGUUUCCUCCUCUAUGGACUACUUUUUGUUCUGCCUGCAUGACGCCUGCGCUCGAAGGCUCGGAGUGCUGGCGAGUAACAUCCUAGAACAUGAAAGAAGUCGAAGCCUUCCUCAACGGAUGCCUCGGGAAAAUACCCAAUAUACAACACAAGAAGACCCAAGUGCAACAAUGUGGUGCUAGAGAUCUAAUCUCGGCCGAUUCCAACGGCUUGGGCAUGAUCUCAGGAUGGACCAAGACCGCACUACCGUGGACUCCACCUGGCUGGCCCAAGAACACGUGGCGGCGUACGGUGACAGAUGACCUGAAGGAGAUGAACCUAACCUGGGGCGAGGCGCAGCAUGUUGGUCAAGACAGGUCCAGAUUGAGGCAGAUCGCCAGGGACGAAAAGGACUGAGUGCUCCGGCUUCCUCCCGCUUCCAAAGACAUGCACCUGGGAAUAGGCUGAGUAGCAACACUAAAUUGGUCCUAGUGUGUGAGUGUGAGUGUUGUCUGUCUUUCUGAGUUGGACCUGUGGUGAGGCGGCGACUUAUCCAGCCUCCCCGCCACCCCAAAAUGGUCAAGCGGUAGAAAAUGGAUGGAUGUUUUUUGUCGCCAAUUAGCAUGCUUUAAAAGCCAGCUCUGUCCUCUGGGAUCAAUGUUUGUCUUUUGCUUGCAAUUUUGCUCCGUGAUUCAUACACAUGUUUACUUCCCAGCUGUAUGCUUCUUUUUUUUUUGUUUUUGUCUUAUAUGUGUUCUCAGACACAACUGGUGGAAUUAAAUGUGCAAACCCCGUUUCCAUAUGAGUUGGGAAAUUGUGUUAGAUGUAAAUAUAAACGGAAUACAAUGAUUUGCAAAUCCUUUUCAACCCAUAUUCAGUUGAAUAUGCUACAAAGACAACAUAUUCG